AAGAUACAAAGCCUCAAUAUACCCAAACUGGUUCAAAGUGUAUACAAUCCAGAUACAAAACAUUCUAUUCGAGUAAUAGCGCGAGUACAAGACAAAAGUCAAAACAACUAGACUACGCUAGUCUUUACACGUCUCACGCCUUGCUCGUACCCCUGUAAGGAAAACAAAACUAACGGAGUGAGCCAAAGCUCAGUGAAGUUCCAAAUAUCGAAUUGGCCAUCAAACAAAGUAAUAACAGUGUAAUAGUGAAAUAGUGAGCAAACAAAUCCAAUCAAAAAGAUAAUACUUCAAGUAAUCAAGAAUAUAUGGAUCAUAUUCACAUGUAAGGAUACAGUGGCUCAUGUCUCGGCUCCAUCCCAGCUUGAUCGAUUGGUAGUUGACACUCCGUCAACUUUCAAGUAAUAACUAGUCCAGAAAGAAAACCCCACUUCACGCCAGUCUCCGUCCACCGAUCAACCCCCUUAUCCGAGCCCGCACGUUACACGAAACACGGGUGGUAAUACUCGAGUAUACCAAUUAACCGAGAAGAUAACAUUCCACUCGACAUUAUUAGUUACCCAGGGUUCGUUAUCUAAUCGACCAGAUCCUUGCCGGCUCGACUCGAUUAACUAGCCACAGGGUUUCUGGAAUUCCAGACAGGAUAUAACUCAUGUAUAUGUAUAGCGAAUCAAGUGUAAUCAAUGAAAAAGAACAAGUCAUAUUAGGGCAAGUACGGUAAAGUACAUCCUUACCCUAUCAAUCAUUUAUCAUGUAAUCACGUAGGUCAAGUAGGAAACACAUGUAUUAAGUGCAAUCGGAUAUUUGGAAGUACUCACCAAAAGUAGUGCCUCUAAUGUUCGCGUCUGGGUGGUACUCCGGGUUUGGAGUCCAAAUAUGCGAUAAAACUUGAUUUAAGAACUUUGAAAAUCAACUAAGGUUCGAAACGUAGACGUUUCGUUCAAUAAGAAUCAAGAAAUUGAAAUUCACUUGGAAAAUAGUCGUGAAACAGUUGCUCGCUUUCAAACUGAAAAAUUUUGUAAGAUGUAUACUUGGAAAUAACUUUUGAGUCGAAAGUGCAAGGAAAACGGAUUUAUUGUGAUUAUUACCGCUUUUCCUAAGGGUACAAGUUCGGCUAGGUUCUAACGUAUAACCCUCGAUAACCAAAGUAGCAAAAGUCCUAGAUGGUUCAAGUGAUAUUCAUUUAUCAACUUUACCCAAGUCGCAAGUGUAUUUCUCUUGUCUUCGAGCGUAAAUUUGGGCAGCAUGCCCUUUGUAUUUUCCUAUUUCCAGCCAUUUAUGGCUUCAUUAUUUUCCUCAUUCAAACCCAAAGGUACACACACAACAAUCUAAUUUCAAUAGCCGUUCAAUAGGCUCAAGACAAUACAAGGACAAAAUCAAGCUAACAACAAGUGCGGAAAUGAAGUUUAACAAGAGACAGAUUUGAUAGAGUUUUGCAUAACGGACACAACCGAAGUUACGCUUAUCGGAUUGGGAUGUAACUUAUACCGUUUUGAAGCUAAGACGAAGGCCUACAACUUUCAUGAAGAUCACUUAGUCAAAUUUCCAGUGUAACCCAGUCAAAUUCCCAAUUCACAGAACCAACUUCCAACUAACCGGCUAGUUAACUGUACUACAUUUAAAUGGCCAUAUCUCAGGCUACCAAAGUCCGUUUAAGGCGUUCUUGGAGGCGUUGAAAAGCUAAGAUAGAGUACUAAAACUUUCAUGUUUUGGAAAAUGGCUAAAUCAGUACGGAUCAUAGUGAAUAGAUACAGUCAACUGGAUGAACUGUCUAAAACGGAUCACUGGAUGCAUCCUAGGGCAGUGAGGGUAUUUUGGUCUUUUCACAGGUUACGUUGCUCCGAUUGGGCUGAAAUUUUGUAGGAAACUAUAAAAUAUCAUUCUCUACAACUUUCAUGUUUUAUUCUAAGCCUAAUUCGGCCUCUAACAUCAUGAACUAGAACCGGACAGAACUGAGCUACAGUUUUCCAGAAAUCUGAAAUUUUUCGUUUUCAAAGGAAACUUUCUUCAUUUCUUGCCUCAAUCACCACCACAACCUCUUAUAUAAGCUUAGAUACAACAUAUACUAUCCAUACAGCAAGUAUAGGUAGAAAAUCAUCAAACCCUAACUUACGUAACUCAAGAACAUACACUAUAUCCAUCCAAAUCAUUAUAAUAGGUAUCAUCCACCACAAAUUUAAGGUGCUAUGCCAAAUUAAACAAGAUCAAGAGUAAGAAAUGGUAAAUCAUCCUUAUUACCUUAUUAAAGUUACUACCAAGAGCAACCCUAACUUUUCCUUCCAAACUUUCACCAACACACCACUAGCUAAACACUCAAAGAAGGUUUUAAUCGGUUUAGUUUCUUGUUUCCUCACUUGGAUGGCUCAAACUCAAGAUGAAAUGGUGUAUCUCUCCCUUGGUUUUUCUCUCCCUCUCUCUCGGCCAAAGCAAGCAGAAAU
rnacentral:lncRNA from 1 species